rnacentral:rRNA from 1 species
GACGAACGCUGGCGGCGUGCUUAACACAUGCAAGUCGAACGGAAAGGCCCUGCUUUUGUGGGGUGCUCGAGUGGCGAACGGGUGAGUAACACGUGAGUAACCUGCCCUUGACUUUGGGAUAACUUCAGGAAACUGGGGCUAAUACCGGAUAUGAGCUCCUGCUGCAUGGUGGGGGUUGGAAAGUUUCGGCGGUUGGGGAUGGACUCGCGUCUUAUCAGCUUGUUGGUGGGGUAGUGGCUUACCAAGGCUUUGACGGGUAGCCGGCCUGAGAGGGUGACCGGCCACAUUGGGACUGAGAUACGGCCCAGACUGCUACGGGAGGCAGCAGUGGGGAAUAGUGCACAAUGGGCGGAAGCCUGAUGCAGCAACGCCGCGUGCGGGAUGACGGCCUUCGGGUUGUAAACCGCUUUCGCCUGUGACGAAGCGGGAGUGACGGUAAUGGGUAAAGAAGCACCGGCUAACUACGUG